GACGCGAGCAAGACACCACUGCACUUUCACACGCAGGUGAUGGAUAGCGCGAACUCCUUUGUAGAAACAGGAAGUUCUUGGCACAUUUGCGGAACAGAAAGCAGCGCACUGCGUCUGAGUGCCGAGUAGCAAGGAGGAAAGCGGGGAGAGUUUCCAACGUUGCUGAUGACACAGGCCCGGGCUGGGUGGCGCAGGCCUCGGGCCUCGGGAUUGUUGCUGAAACGAGGCAGCCGGUGCGAGCACGGCAGAGCUUCAGGAAGCUGUAGCAGACCGGAUGGAAAACGCUUUGCAUCAAGGAGUUGGGAAGGCAACUUCUAUUUACACCGGAGAGCUGAUGGGGGAUCGCUCCCCAAACCAGCGGCACUGGCUUAAAGUAAAACAGCAACUUACAUACUUUUUGGCUGGGACAGAACCCAAGCCUUGUCCGUGCUAGCCCAGGGACUUCCUUCACUUCUUUGGAGCGCUGGAAUGCAAGUUUUGUCUUAAUUUAUUCAGGAUCUAGAGAAGCCCUUCAAAAUACCCACUUGACUGAGCUACAGGAGGUGGAAGUCAAGUCCAUCAAUCCGUUCUUCCAGUGAUUCAUCCAGCAAUCCUUACUGGGCCUCCAGCUUGCAGACUAGGCUGGCUGAUGUCGCCCGGGGCUUACUCUGUCCUCUCAGAGCCCACAGAGGUGAAACAGGCUCCUUCAGAGGGCAGCCAGCGGUGCUGCACGGGCAGAGGCACCACAGGGAUUUGGCGGAGGGGCGCCCUGCGAGGCAGGCAGGAAGAGCUAACUGGAUCUGACACUGGGCUGAAGAGAGCGAGGCCGAGCUGAGGAGCCUGGGUGAGGCUGCAGCGAGGGAAGGGCAACUGUAAAAGUGAGCAGAGGAGCUGUUUCUGGCGCACGGUGAGGAGGCGGGCUGGCCAGAGACUGAGUCCGCACUGAACACAACAGGGUGCAGCGGAGAUUAAACAGAAGGGAGCAGCGAUCAGCCGUCACCCUGUUCCCCACUCCCCUUAGGCAGGUGUCUAAAACGGCUAAAUCUCUGGCCAGCAGCUUGGUUUAGAUCGCAGCUGCAGUGUGAGGUGGGGCAGGCAGGGCUGGAGGGAAGCCAGGCAGACUGGUUCAGAUGGAGACCGUUACUGCUCAGCUGAGAAGGAAGCCAGGCGGGAGCGGUGAACUGGGGCCCGGGGGGCUGCAGGGUGACAGUGCCAGGCUCAUCUGCCAGUGCCGGGUGUCCAAGGUCCCGGCUGCCUCAGGGGCCACAGGCUGCUCGGCUCCACCAGCGUGGCUUUCCUCGCAAACAAAACCCUGAAAGGACCUGGGUGAUUACAUCCCUGGUUAGCAGGGAACGGCAGUACAAGUCACCACACCUGGCACAGGAAAUAACAAGCAUGCUCCACAGCCUCUGCAUUUCCCCACCUGGCCUUCACGCUGCCUGGCAGAGGGUUUGAGAAUAGCUGCCGCCAGGCAUGGUGACACAAGCCUGUGAUCCCCAGCGUGAAGAGGCUGAGGCAGGAGGCCAGCCUGGGCUACAUAGUAAAACUUUUGUCUCAAUAUCCUCCAAAUAGUAAUAAAAAAAUAAAUAAAAACAGCAGCUUCUUCAGGGUACUAUAAGGCAGCCAUCAUUGCAGGCCUUUUCACUAAAUGGCUUGGCCGAAGAGUCUUGCUUAAGGUCUCCCAGUCCACAGCUUCAGAACUAGGAUUUUGACCCAGGCACGUCAUUUUGACAGCCUGCGCACCCAUCCUGCCAGACUGGUGGUGUGCAAAGCAACCCUUACCCUCCCUCCCAGGAAUUCGGUUCUAAAAGAACUGAUUUCACUUUGUCUUCUGUGACAGGGUCUCACUAUGUAGCCCAAGCUGCCUUCAAACUUGUGAUCCUCCUGCCAACUGUGGGGAUCUCAGGCGUGCACCACCAUGCCUGGCUUUGAGUAAUUUUAGACUUAAGCAAAAAGUUGCAAAGACAGCAUUGCCAUGUGCCACGCACGCAGUCUCCCUACUGCAACCACCUUACAUGACUGAGAUGCACUUAUCAAAAGAAACCAACCCCGGCACCUCUGUAACCUCUUCUGCCUUAUUCUUUCAUUUUUAUGAUGGAGGACAGUAUUUUUGUCUUUUUGACAGUUCUCAGGAGUAUGCCCUACAGUGUCUUCUGAUUGGAAGAAUACCCCACAUAUAAGCCACAGGGUUGCUACAGACCUGGGCUCCCAAGUGGUUGGAGCCUUACUUGGCUGGGUUAGCACAGGCCAUGCUGUUCCGGGCAGUUACUAUUUUCCCUCUCUCAGACUCUAUCCUUUGCAAAGUGAGUCACCAGGUUCAGCCAGCCCACCAUGCGUGAGGUUUCCACUUAGCACAGAGGAACAUCUACCUAUAGUGCUUGGAAUUUUUAUGAAGACUUAUAACCCUUCUCACUAUUGUUAAAAUCCAACUUUUCCCCCCCGCUAAAGCGGUGUUUCACUAUGUAGCACAGGCUGGCCUUGAACUCAUGGCAAUACU